AAUAGUUUUAAAAUUAUUUUAUAUUAUUAUAUUUAAAAUUUAUAUUUGACAAUAAAAUUAUUCAAAAAAUUACAAGAACAUUCCAUCGUGCAUGUGCUUAUAAAGAUAAGUAGAAUUCGUUUGUGUCGACCGAGUACUUUGUGCCUGACGAUCUGAGGAGAAAGCAAAAGCCAGUAUUCAUAGUCGGAUCUUAUAUUUAAGAUUAUCUUAAGUACUUUCUUAAGAUGCCAUCAACUAAUAACAGAGCCGUAUUAGCAUCUUAAGGUUUGAGACGAUCUUUAAAUAAGAUUCGACUAUGAAUACCAGCCAAAGAUUAGUUCUAUCUAUGGUGAUCUAUGGUGGAGUUAAGCCCUUGUCUAGUGCGUGGUUAAUUUAAGUCUUUUUCGGGCGCGCGAGUGCUUAUGAAUAUAUUUCACCGACCAAAUUUUUAAACGUACUUUUGUGAUAACUUUUUGUGAGUACUUUUUGAUACAUAAAUUACUCCGGAUUUUGCGUCGCUGUGUGACUCUAUUCACUCUAACAUGGGAAAUAUAACCUCUAAAUGACAGUUUCCUCGAUGUGCUGAACUAUAUAAACAAUUUAUUUCCCAUAGAGCAGUCACUGUCAAAUAUCGAUGAGGUGGUGAAUAAUAUAGAAAAUAAAACAUUAUUGAUAGGACUCAUGAUAGCAAUCCUGUGCUCGCUGGACAACAAGCAGUCAUCCGAAGAAUUUCAGAUGAUAUGUGUACCAUUUAUCUAUCUACCAAAAUUUGAAUUGCAAGCCUAACAUGCGAUCAACUGGAGCCUGUGGUACCUUGGCGAUCGAAUUAAAGUGAUACUAAGUGAAGACCGUGAAGCUGUUGGCACUUCACUUUCGAUCAUUUGCAUAUGCUAGUGGAAGGAGUAGAUAAUCUAAAAGUAUUAAUACAAGGAAACAAUAUGGAGAAAUUAUUGUACCAUUGCAAGGAGUGAUGCAGAUGAUGCAACAUUUUAACAGCUACAUGGACAUAUCACAAGUGAAGCAAUUAUCUGAUCUUUAUGAGCAAUCUGAGCAAUUAUCUGAUUUAACUCGUGCCCUACAAACAUUUUAUAUUAGAUUGAUUUCAAAAGUAAUUUAGUUACACUACUUUUUUCCUAAAAUAAAGGUAGUGAUUGUGGCACAGUGACUUGUGUGUCUGCUCUCUGAUUACAUGGUUUUGAAUCCAAGUCUCGGGCAGAGAGCAGACACACAACUCACUGCGUCACAAUUGUUUGUAUGGAUAAAGUGCUUUUUUUAUAUUAUAUUAUAAGAGCUAAUAAUUAAUAGAAUUGUUUCUUUGAUUAAGUAUUUUAUCUUUGUUUGAACAAAGGAUUCAUCAGAUUCAGCAUAAGUUGGCCUAGCAGAUUACAACGGAUUUCAAACAGGCCUUUUCAAGUCAAAAUCCAAAGCAUUUCAACCAGUUAACGGAGGGAUGUUUAAUACUAAAAAGUUCGAAAAGAACUCUCUGUGCUGUCUGGGAUAUUUAUUAAAAUCUAACCUAACCUAACCUAAUCUAAUCUACAAUUAAAAACCUGUCUAAAAACACUUACUAAAAGAUGACUUAAGGUGACUAAUUUUAGACAUCUUUCAUUUGUCUUAAAGAUGACUAAAAGAUGUCUAAAAUUAGUCACCUUAAAGUCAUCUUUUGGACAAGGUUUAAAAGUUGAUUUAAAGCGGGUCAUGAGCCGACUUUUAGUCAACUUUUAAACCUUGUCCAAAAGAUGACUUUAAGGUUUAGUUGACUAUACGCUCUGACUAAAAGAUGUCUUGGACUAAAAUAUGACUAGUUUUAGGAUCCUUUUAGACGACUUGGUGCUGUCUGGGAAGCAAUUAUAUUAUUUCAAAAAUAUAUGUAAUAUUUGAAGACUAAUAAUUUCCCUCCAAGUUCUGCAAAUAUGGAGAGAUAUGAGCAGAGAACUGAAUGGAAGAUAGAAACGUGCAGUUUACACGCACGUAAGAGAAAAUAGAAAUGGCAAUCUUGAAGCGGCUCGUCAGUUUUCAGGUAUACAUAUUCAACCUCCAACACUAAUGACAUGAUUAAUUUCAUGGAAGAUGAUACCAUGAGGAAUUGUCAAAAGAUUCUGAAUUAGCAAAAUCUUAUUACGAAGACGAAAACGAAGAUGCUGAUGUUCCUCUGGUGCUUUCACCUACUGAGUGGGAACAGAUAAAGCCAGAUUCUUCUUCUAAAUAUCAAAAGAAAUUGAAACCACGAGUUUUGUCAAAUGUAAUUACCAAAGCAUUUUGGAAUAUGUAUAAAUUCCAAUGUGCUUUUUUUGGUAAAUGGUCUUACGUGUGCAUGGACUGUAAGAACGUAAAUGAAAAUGAUGUCGUUAGAUCUUCCUCUGACUUUUAAAGUUCAAAGGAUUAUGUAAAAGCAAGAAAUGUAAUAAUAAAAUUGUUGGCGUUGCUGACGAAAAACCAGUCAAUGGAAAACUACAUUUAAUAAUUACAACACGUGAUACUCGUAAUGAUUAUCAUGAAGAAGUUAAGAGACCAUUAAAUGGUCCCGAAAGAAAAAUUAUUGGACGAGAAUUAAAACGAAAAGAAGCUGCAGGAUAUCGACAGAAAUUACUUGCAGAGAAUAUGGAAUUUGGAAAGAAUAAAUCUCCUUGGUUACAAAAAUGUCAUAUUUACAGACGAGCGAAGAUGGAAUACAACAAUGAAGAACUUGACAUAAAUCAGGUGUGAAAAUGGACAUGAUAACAAGCAUUCGCAAUAUGCUACAAAACACCCGAUACGGCAAUUCUAUUCGAGAUAUUGGAACAAAAAAAUUUUACGUCUUUUACUGUAGUCCAGAACAAAUUUUUAUAGAAAAAGAAUACUGUCGAGUAAAAAAAAAUUUUGCGAAUUUGUUUAGAUGCCACGAGGAAAGUGGUAAAAAAAUUUGAAAUUUUUUUAGGGCAAAAAACUGGCCACAUAUUAUUACACGAUUACUAUCAAUUUUAAGGGUAAAACUCUUUUUGUAUACCAAAUGUUAUCGGAAAAACAUGACGCAGCCUUCAUUACAUUUUGGCUUCAAGAAUGGAUACGAACAUGUGGAGCGAUAAUACCAGGCGAAGCUACAGCUGAUCUAGGACGUGCUUUAUUAUUAGCUAUAUGUUAAGCACUUAAUCGCAUGACACUAAAAGAAUACGUUGACGUUUUUUUAAAAUGCGCAACGAAAAAUGGACAUAAAUCACCCGGCCAUUUAACACUUUAAUAAGAGCGGACAUGGCUCAUCAAAUUGCGGCUGUCACUAUGUGGAAAUGUAUUAAAGAUCUACGUCAUUCUGUUGUUAAAAGUUUUUAUCUUCGUACUAUUGCUUUAAUGAUUGACUGUUAAACAGUGUAAGAAUUUGAAUACGUAUUUCAACUGACAAGCAUUAUUGCAUUACAUCCUGACCAAGAUGAUAGUGUUAAAAAAACAAAUGUCAGUUUUUCAAACUAGACGCCUUUUAGAAUAUAUAUCUGAACGUGAACAGAUCAUUGCAAAAUUGGAGACAUCGAUAGAAAAUGUCAAAAUUGAUGAUGAAGUUGAAAAUACUUUCAAUUUAAUUGAAGAAAAAGAUGAUAAAAGUUUAACCGCCACUCAUCGAUGGAUCAAAAAACUUAUUUCAAUCUCCACACCUUCUGAUCAGCAAAAAAUAGAAUGCAAGAGUGUAAAUGGUUUUUAUUUUCCGGAAUUUAUACAAUCACUUGAACGAAUUGCCAAAGAGUUUCCAAUAUGGACUACAGCAGCUCUCCCUGGUAGACAAAUGCAUGUAUCAACAGCGUUUCAGGAAGGAUAUUUUGCUGAAAUGCGGAAAAUAAUUUUUGAGGAUAUCACUUUACCGUGUUCUGCAAUUCGAUUUUUAAAAGAGCACAUUGAUAACUUGCAUUUUGGUAGUAAUGAAGUAGUAGCGAAGUUAAAGCAUUUUAACCAUAAUUUCUGCGUUACCAUAGUAUCUGCGUUUACAUCAGAGAAGAAAGAAUUACGGCCUUCUACGCAAAAAUCUGACAUAGCUCUACAUUCACUUACUAAUAAAUCAAAAUCGGCUUCGCGACAAGUUAAUUUAACAUUGUGUUUACUUGAAAAUUCAAGAUCUUUUAUAGAAAAGCCUAUAUGAGCUUCAUGUUUAUCGAACAGGGAAUUGGAAAACAUACAAGAUCUAAGUCUAGCUCUAUGUGCAGAUAAUUGAGAAUUUCAAAUCUCGCAAAAAUCCAGAACAACUCUAUGUACGUUAAGCGAAAGACCAACAUCUAUUUUGAAAACAUCAGCAGGAUAUACAGAUGUGCAUAUUGAUUCAAUAAAUUUAUUGUGUCAGAAGGCCCGUAUAGUGAAUAACUCUGAUUUAAAUUUUUAUACUUUGGUCGACUUCGAUAAUGUUCGACUAAUGGUUCAGCUCAUCGCGACGUAGUUGAGACUGACAGAAUUAGCUGAAGUACAUGUAGCCCCUCCCCCCUUAUCGCAAUUUUUAGAUACCUCUCUCAGAAAGCUCCGUCUCCAUAUUUCUUUGUCUAUGCAGUUGACGUGAAAAACACUUGAUGUGAAAAAAAUGAAUGCUACAAUUAUUAUACAUACAGUGCAUCACACACUGUACGUGACGCGCUCAAAAUUAUUUUUUAUUUAUAACUUUAUUUUUUUUAACUACGUACUAUCUCUUCGAUUGUUUUGAAACUUGCUUCUGUUAUUUUAGAGUAUUUACAGAUUUUCCAGGAAAAAAUGGUGAGAGUGCCUCACGUGCAUCUCAUAAAGAAAAUUAAAAAAUAAUUUAAAAAAUUUUUUUGACC